GAGGAAAAGAAGAAGCACCCGCUUCUCACCUGGUUGACGCAAACAAUGCAGUUAACAGGUCAUGAUUUGAUUAUUUGGAUCUUUCUGAAUGAGUCUAUCAGUGUGGGUGCAACAUGCAUCCACACUUUUUUAUUAUG
rfam:Bacillus sp. FJAT-22058 super1, whole genome shotgun sequence.